AGAAUCACUCACACGGCUCAAAAUUCAAAAGGAACAAAACGCACACCGUCACUACGCAAUUCAAGUUCUGUUUCUACAACUUCGCUGUCACCGACUUAGGGCUUGGAGACACAAAUGGCGCCUGAAGCUGCUUGGUUGGUUCCACCCCCACCCCCAACAGGUGCAGAGGCCAAACGUGGAGUUAGCAGUUGUCGGAAUUAUGUCCGUGUAGAACACAGGGCUAAUUAAAGCAUGGCUUGAUGAGUGGUGUGUAGAUCCAUGCCCAGGAU